UGCAUCUGCUAUUGUGGCUAAAGCGAUGGAAUGUACACAGAAAGCUGGACAAUGUAUGCAAACCUUUAAUUUUACAAAUCAGGUGAAUGGCGCCGUCGAUCCUACAGUAUUAUGCAAUGCUUUAGAUGUAUAUACAAACUGUACAGAGAUUUUAAUGUUAUCAACCGAUUGUAGUCCUUAUAUGGGUCAACCAGCAGCUCAGCUAGAGAACAUGAGGAAUCAAUAUGCCCAAAUAUGUUCACCAGGGCAUGGUGGUGUUCCAGGAUCAAACGCUGCCCAUUGCUUUAAUGUAACUAUGACCUGCUAUGAUACAUACAGUAGCGCACAUAAUCCAAUGGAUUUUACUAAAGAUGUUGAAGGAAUGUGUCGAUCUAUGAAUAAUUAUAUUAAUUGCGUAGGUAAUGUGACUAGUAAUAUUGAAUGUCAACAAUAUGCUCCCAAGAUACAAUCUGGUGUUUAUUCCACAGUACACCAGCAUAGAGCACUUUGUAGAACAGAUGGCGGUAAAACUGCAGGAAGAUGCUUCAAAACCUUUGAAUCGUGUUACGGUCCCUUUAACCAGACAUACAUACCGGCAUCAGCAUCACAUGAUUACCCUUCCAUAUGCAGGGCUGUUGAAAACCUUGUCACGUGUGCUAAUGGUAUAAGUGAGGAAUGCAUGUAUUAUCUAGGAAAAGCUUUAAUUGGUGUUCAGAGAAUGCAGAGACAGUAUGCUUAUAGAUGUGCACCA